CCCUUAGAUGUUCUGGGCUGCACGCGUGUUGCAAUCGGGCGUACAACAAGAUUGCAAAUCCUAGUGGAUGAGUGGUUCUUCGAAAUUUUCUGAAGACUGGGAUAGUUGAUUGAAAUUAUUCAACUCAAACGAGGAAUUCCUUGUAAUUGUAAUUCAUUAUAUUGUAAUGAAUACGUCCCUGCCCUUUGUACACACCGCCCGUCGCACCUACCGAUUGAACGAUCCGGUGAAUUAUUUGGAGUAGCUCUGGAAGUUGCAGAACUUCCUAUGUCACGAAAUUUUGUAAACCUUAUCGUUUAGAGGAAGGAAAAGUCGUAACA
rnacentral:rRNA from 1 species